AUGAUUGGUGGUCAGCUUUUGAUUUUCAUUCUUCAUAGGUCAUGGCAACAAGGCCCAUUGUACAUGCACAGGCUAUUCUCAUCGAUCUUCUGUACCUCCUAUUUUACUAUGACAGGCUUUGAAAGUCUGAAGAUUGAAUGGACUUCAAUUAGCAGUUCAGGCCCGACUGGCAGCAGCUCGGGCGUCCUGGUGGUCAAGCUGGUGGCGGAUCGUGGGACCGUAGAGGGCUGCAGCGGUGCUGAUGAGCCUUCUUACGAAGGCUGGUGCUGGUGCUCAGCUGCAGCGCCUGCACCAAGGCCUCCUCGUCCAGACCAUGUUGACAAAGGAAGUUCACCGUGUCAUUUUUGAAGAUAAAAAGUGACUUAGUGUGCGUGAUGUUUGUAUAAUAAUACCAGUUAAUCACAAUUAAUAAGGAGCAGGUAUAAGAAUGGAUGAUAAAUGGAUUAAUACUGUUAGUAAUUAUGUUGUUCAUACUACACAACACACAACUGAAAAGAACCAGCUGUUGAAUGUACACAGUUGCUACUUCCUUUAAAACAGCGAGGUAAUGUCAGAAAGAAACCUGUAAAUGAGUUAAAGGAGCUAUUGGAGUGAGUCCAGGGGAGAACCAUGAUCAGGGGGCUGGAGCACCUCUCUUAUGAAGAAAGAUGGAGGGAGUUGGGCUUGUUCAGUUUGGAGAAAGCACUGGGAAAGUCUCAUUGCAGCCUUCCAGUACUUGUAGAGAGCUUAAAACAGGAGGGGGAAUUAACUUUUAGAAUAGUUCAGUAGUGGUACAACAAGGAGGAUGGUUUUAAACUAAAAGAGAGAGAAUUUAGGUUAGAUGUUGGAAGGAAACAAUUUACUCAUUGAGUGGUGAGGCGCUGACACAGCUGCCUGGAGAAGCUGGUCACAUUCAGUGUCUGGAUGACAACCGAGCUCAGUGGACGUCAAGUUGUGUUCUGCUGAGACUAUACAUUUUUUGAAUGGCUGUGUAAAGCUUGUUGGUGAGGUGCUGACAGCUCACUGUUGUGCUCCAGGUCUACUUUUGGAGCCUCCUGUGUUGCUGAGAUUGUUUUUGGAUGCUAGGUGAUCUGUUUCGUGUCAUGUCGCUUUCCCUCUCUCAUGACGUACCUUCCUCAUUCAUACACCUUGAGUGCUGUUGUAUGUACUAAACUUGCUUCUCGGUGAGCUUAAAUUCUGCUGCUGAUCAUGCUUGCCUUGUGACUGCAUAAGGACUGUCCUAUUUGAGUUUGUGGCUGAAUUGAUGCUGUCUCCCAGCAAGUGGUUUGAGGCUUCUCUCUUUCAGCUAGCUUUGAAUGCAAGAUGAAUUAAGCUCCUUGAAGAUAGGAACAUCUACCUCUUUUCAUGU
rnacentral:lncRNA from 1 species